AUACUUACCUGGCUGGGGAGAUACCAUGAUCACGCAGGUGGUUUUCCCAGGAUGAGGCUUAUCCAUUGCACUCCCGAUGUGCUGACCCCUGAAAUUUCCCCAAAUGUGGGAAACUCGACUGCAUAAUUUGUGGUAGUUGGGGACUGUGUUCUUGCUCUCCCCUG
rnacentral:snRNA from 1 species